GAGACCGGCGCACGGGUGCGUAACGCGUACGCAAUCUACCCUUUACUGGAGAAUAGCCCGGAGAAAUUCGGAUUAAUGCCCCAUAUGCUCGUAGGAUCUCCUGAUCCAGCGAGGAAAGCUCCGGCGGUAAGGGAUGAGCAUGCGUCCCAUUAGCUUGUUGGUGAGGUAACGGCUCACCAAGGCGACGAUGGGUAGGGGGCCUGAGAGGGCGAUCCCCCACACUGGUACUGAGACACGGACCAGACUCCUACGGGAGGCAGCAGUGAGGAAUAUUGGGCAAUGGAGGCAACUCUGACCCAGCCAUGCCGCGUGCAGGAAGACGGUCCUCUGGAUUGUAAACUGCUUUUAUUAGGGAAUAAACCCUCCUACGUGUAGGAGGCUGAAGGUACCUGAUGAAUAAGCAUCGGCUAACUCCGUGCCAGCAGCCGCGGUAAUACGGAGGAUGCAAGCGUUAUCCGGAUUUAUUGGGUUUAAAGGGUCCGUAGGCGGGUAUUUAAGUCAGUGGUGAAAGCCCACAGCUCAACUGUGGA
rnacentral:rRNA from 1 species